rnacentral:lncRNA from 1 species
UGGGCUUCAGGCAUAGUUUAAUCCAGAGGUUUACUCUAUCAGCAGGGCUCAGCUCCCUUUCCCUUCUCCAGUCUGCCUUUCUAUGUCCAUUGAUUUUAUCCUUCCUAGAACAGAUUCUUACCUGGCAGCAACAUAGCCCCAGAGUUCCAUGACUCAUAUCCACACUCCAACACCUAGAAGAAAAAAGAACAAGCUUUUUAGACAGUAAAGAGCUCUGAGAUUCACUCUGACUGGACUAGCUGAGAUCUCAUGCCUAUGAUUGGCCAUACCAGUUGGUUCAGGGAUUAUCACAAGUAUUACCAGCAUAGCCUUUAUUGCGUUGAACUACAAUUCUGGUUUUCUCAUUGGUGUCUCCAAUAGAUGGUGUUAUGUUAUUCUCCUUUAUAUCCCCACUGCCUAGGACAUAGUCAUACUCAAGAAAUGUGAAUUGGAUUUUCAAAGCACAGGGUUAGUUGUCCUCUUAUCAAACUCUUGUGCUAGCUUAAUCCGGGCCUCAGCAGUCUGUGGGCAUAAAAGGUGCCCCAUUAAUAGUUGUAAAUGCAUGCCACAGCCACCCCAACCUUCAGCAACCACCACCCUAAUGAGUCAGCAGCCAUAAACAUCAAGGCAUGACCCUCCACGAGCAAAAAGAUUACAAUUUGCAGAAGGCUCAGAUGAUUGCUAGCAAUAAAGUAUUUUUAAUUAAGGUAUGUACAGUGGUUUUUAGAUGUAAUGGUAUUGCACACUUAAUACACUAUAGUGUAACUUUUACGUGCACUGGGAAAUCAAAAAUUCCUAUGACCCACUUUAUUGCAAUAUUUGUUUUAUUGAGGUGGCCUGCAACCAAACCUACAGUAUCUCUGAGUUAUGCCUGUGUAUAUUAUUUGGAGAACAUUGACUAGUACAGAUACUCAGCCGGAAUUCUGGAUACGCUUCAGGUAUGGCUGUAUCCAGGAUCUUUAACAAUGUCAUUAGGCUCCACCAUCUCUUGCCAGAUCUUAGACAAGAGUUAUUCAUAUGGUACAUGUGAUGGGUGACACUGGCAACCCUGGCUCAUGUCCUAAACGUAGCCACCUUAAGAAAGAAAGAACAUCUCCCUAUAUUCACCUGAUUAGCCUCCCUUGGGUCAUGUGUCUAUUCCUGAACCCAUCACUGUGAUCCAAGGAUGUGAUACAAUGGAAGGGCACCAGGAUUGAUAAAACCUAAGGAGUCCAGGAGAGAAACGGACGAGAAUAACAUUUAUUUAGCACUUAUUAGUUUCUACCUUUAUGAUAAUCAUUUUAAGCACUUUAACAAGGUUUUCAAUGUGCCCCCACAUCUCUGCAUUCCAGCCACCACCGUGCCUUUGUGGAGUUUCUCAGAGCUACCAGGCUCCUCCCACCACAGGGCCUUUGCACGUGCCGCUCUCAUCUGAGACACUCUUCUUUGGCCUCUUUACCCCUGCAACUUCUACUCUUCUUUGAGAUCUCAGCUCGAGUCUUUUCCUCAAGGAAGUAGCUUAGACUUGUGCAGAUUCUGUUUUUUUAACUUUUAAGUUCGGGGAUACAUGUGCAGGUUUGUUAUAAACUCAUGCCAUGGGGGUUUGCUGUAGAUUAUUUCAUCACCCAGGUACUAAGCCAAGUAUCCAAAUAGGCACUCAGUGGGUAAUGGUUGAAGAAUGAAUGAAGAAAUAGAUGUUAGUAACAUUUAUUGAGCACUUACUGGUUUCUUUUUUAUUAUAAGUUCUGGGAUACAUGUGCAGAACGUGCAGGUUUGUUACACAGGUAUACAUGUGCCAUGGUGGUUUGCUGCACCCAUCAACCUGUCAUCUAGGUUUUAAGCCGUGCAUGCAUUUGGUAUUUGUCCCAAUGCUCUCUCUCCCUCUUGUCCCCCACUCCCUGACAGGCCUCGGUGUGUGAUGUUCCCCUCCUUGUGUCCAUGUGUUCUCACUGUUCAACUCCCACUUAUGAGUGAGAACAUGUGGUGUUUGGUUUUCUGCUUCUGUGUUAGUUUGCUGAGAAUGAUGGUUUCCAGCUUCAUCCAUGUCCAGUUGCAAGUCACACUUCAUUCACUCUCUGGGAGGUCUGGAGGGUUCCUGGGCAGCAGACCUGGGUCCUGGGAAGGAGGCAUGGUGGGGUGGGCACUAGUUGGAGGGGUGGAAGGCACCACAUUGGUGCCCCUGCAUGUCGUGGAUGCAGCGCACGGACUGUACCUGAGGGUGACGGGCCCCAAAGUCGCUGCUGUCCUUGUAGUCUCCCUUCUCCAGCAGGUACUGCAGCCCACGGUAGCCAGGGUACUAGUAGCCAACCCACACAUGCCACUCCGCACCCACACAGAUGACACCUUCUCCUGGUAGCCAUGGGCGUGGAAGCUGGGUACAUCGUCAUCUAUGAUUUCCAUCUUCUUCCCGGUGAAGUUGGGGUUUUCAUAGAGGAUGAUCUUGUGCUCUUGGCUGUCCACUUUGAUGGGCCUCAGGCUGCUGAGUCUGUCCUCUGGCUGCUGGUCCACCAGUCCCAGUGGGCGUACUCGCCCUUCUCAAACACAAACUGCUCGCCCUUGCAGUUGGCCUGUUCAUAGCUCACCCAG